AUUUUAAGGCCUUCAACUGAUGAGAUGAGCUCUACUUAGAUUAUAGAAGGUAAACGGCUUUAUUCAAAGUCUACUGAUUUAAAUGUUAAUCAUAUCUAAAAAAACAACUUCACAGCAACAGCUAGACUGGUGUUGGGCCAAACAAGUGGGCCAGGCUGGCACACAGUUAACCAUCACAAAGUAGUCUAGGAGGUGUGGUCUCCCUCUAGUUCUUCUUUGGCUGAGGAAGGGAAGAGCUCUGAGUACUCAGGGAUAUUGUGCACUGGGCACACUGGGCAGAGCCACCUAAGCUUGUUCAAGACGAGCAGACACCAGUCUAAAGCUGCUAAAGCCUCCACGGAAGAAGAAAGAAGUUUCGGUGGCUGACAGAGCUGCUGAAAGUCCCAGAAAUGUGGUGAAGGCCCUUGGAGGACCAAAUUCAAGAAGAGUUUGGGGGUUUGCAAAGAGCAAUGCCCUCACAUUCGAUUUCUCAUACCUGAACCUGUUCUCCCAGCCACUGAAAUGCAUUAAAUCCAGGAUCAGUUCUGAUGACCAAGAUCCCAAAGAUGAACUGAAGACCUAGGCCCCAAAGCACUGCCCUCCAGGACACCUGGGACCAAAAAGAACAUUAUUCCAAUGUGGGAGUUUUCAAGGGGCUUGAGACAUCUCGUCAAUUUUUCACCCAAGAGCCUUUUCAGAAAGCGGUGAACCAGGACCAAAAGCACCAAACAGGUUCUCAAUGUCUUACCCAAACCCAGCAGGCUCAGUAGGAUCUUCUUGAACAAGCCAGCAUGUGUUUUACAGAAACUUCUUGCCCUGGUGAAAGGCUGUAAGGUCCUCCUGAUGAGAAACCAAAAGUUAAGAU